UGUCGCGUCUAUAUGGUCUAGGUAGCAGACGGGAUUGGAACAAGGUAGGGGUGGGUUGGAGGUGUGGGUAGCUGGCGGCCGCCGCCGCCGCCGCGGGCGUUGAGAAGAGCGUUAUAAACCCGGGUUUGGAGAAGACGGGAACUUAGACCGCCGGCAUCUACUUCCUUAGAGUUCAAGCAAGACACGAGCCUAACCUUGUUCAUUCCUUGUCCACGGUCAGAGCAACACAUUAGCCUAAGCAGCAUCUUCUUUCUCUGGCUAAAGCCAAACAUAAUCUUUUUCCACGACAAAAAUAUACAGGCGGGGAACGCUCUGUUAUCAUUUAGGCAGCUAAAUGCUUAACAUACGGUCGGACUUAGCCUAGUCCUGCUCCGAUAUUAUUCGCGACCCGGCCUCGCAGCAAAGUUCUUAUAUUAAUAAAGAAACGCAAAACAAACAGCGACAUUCAACAGACAAAACAAGGUAAACUCUAGCCUAGCGGUACUUCAAGUUGUCUCCAGCGGCGGCGUCGGCACUAAGCUUUUUUCGUCGAAUAAUACCCCUCCUUUCCGAUUCGCUCGACGGUUCACUACAACACCAGUUUCAGGAACUCUGCCACUUUUGUGCCAACUUCUUUCGUCGACCAUUACCCCUCCUGUCCGAUUCGCUCAACGGGUUACUGCACGACGAGUUGUAGGAGCUCUCCCACCCAUGCGAACUACGGCAUUUUUGGACGUAGGACAGUUUCGUUUACGUCUUCGACGGGCGAUACGAGAGCGUCUAGCAUUAACUAGAGUUGGGAGUGCUAAACUAAGUUUACCUACCACAACACCGACUACACUGCUUGUUCUAGGAAUGAUGCUCCAGAGGUGUCUAGUGGUAAGCGUUCGACUUCGAGUUUAAAAAGAACCAAGGGAGAGCGACAGAGAGGUAGCCGUUUAGACAACCGGAGCGGUACCACUGGGUCUUUAACCUACGUCGACUCAAACUCUAGUACUGUGUCUUCCUAAAGUCGGUAACGUGACUACGGGUAGCGGACGAGAUACGACUCUUUAAGUUACUAAAACAAGCACCAACAGGCCUACGUAAACGACCAGAGUGCGCCGACGUAGAUGCCUUAUACUCCAAACCAUUUAGUCUAUAUAGGUUGUAGGAAUCGGUAACGUUCACCAACCUCAAGAACAGAAAGAAGCUCACACUGCUCCCCCAGGCAAGCCACGAGGUACAUCUUGUGCGAGUUGAUCAACUCGAACAAUAGUAGAAACCCUUUAAACUUUGUCACCUCGAACGGAAAGAUGGUUUCGAGGUCGCCUACAGGAUAUCCCUAACCGUCAUACUACUAUUAGGGAACCAAGAACCAAAACAGGGAGUCGAAAGCUUCGAGUCAGAACGAACGGGUAUGAAUAGUCCGUUCUGUGAGUUGAAUUCGUUCGACGAACGAUUACGGGGGUGACAUUCGCUAAACAUAGACCUCAAAGCUUCACUUUUCUAAACCUAAGUUGGUCUUACGGGGUUUCACGAACGAGGACACGAACGGUUUGAUGCCAAACACUUAGACCUAGUAGAAGCGCUUCUUACACUAUAGAGGACCUGUGACAAGGAAGAACUUCGCCGUGGUAUGGAUCUCCUCGAAACGUAGUGUCAUACCCUGGUAUUCACGGCCUAGCUCAGUGUUUUCUCGCAGAGGUUCUUUUGCCUACACUUCACCCUUGGUAGACUAGGAGUAAAAUUCGUCUUCUUAGACCGUUCCGACUGAUAGAUGCCGAAGGUCAGGCUACUGUUAAAGUAGCCUAUGUAAUCUGCACAGUAAGUUCGACGACACUUGUAGUCCCUCCAUAGGGACGUGAGGUCCUUCCACACGGGUAACACAAAGCUUUCCAAAGGAGUCCACCGCGAAGCAGGCAGCGCAAUAGGUGCCUGUUCGCUCCUCGAACUAAACAACUCCCUCUUCUACUGUCGGCGAAGCCGAUACCGAAGAGGACAAUAAGUGAAGGCGAGUAAUCCAACUCAACUACUUCUACUUGGAGAUAAAGUUUCUGGGGUCAUCAUCGGUGAUGCAGCCGCGAUAACGUAUAAGACGUCUUUACAUAGAACCGAUGGUUAAACAACCUUGUUGAGUAAAUCGAUAAAAGCUGUUUACUUAACCUAUUUUAUUCGUGCAGAUACAACACCCGCACGUCAUUGCACGAAUACAACUUAUGUCAGUUAUAAGUCAAGCUUACUACUAGACAAUAAAAAAGUUAGAACAUAAAUACUCUUGGUGUCGUGAGAGAUAAAAAG
rnacentral:rRNA from 1 species